AGCAGCCGCGGUAAUUCCAGCUCCAAUAGCGUAUAUUAAAGUUGUUGCAGUUAAAAAGCUCGUAGUUGAAUUUCGGGAUCAAUACGUCUGUCGUGCCUUUGGUACGUACGGGUGUAAUUGGUUUCUACCUUCUGAGGAUCCUUGAUGUCAUUAAUUUGGUGUCUUGGGGAAUCAGGACUGUUACCUUGAAAAAAUUAGAGUGUUUAAAGCAGGCAUGCGCUUGAAUACAUUAGCAUGGAAUAAUGAAAUAGGACGUUCGAUUCUAUUUUGUUGGUUUCUAGGAUCGACGUAAUGAUUAAUAGGGAUAGUUGGGGGCAUUAGUAUUCAAUUGUCAGAGGUGAAAUUCUUGGAUUUAUUGAAGACUAACUACUGCGAAAGCAUUUGCCAAGGAUGUUUUCAUUAAUCAAGAACGAAAGUUAGGGGAUCGAAGACGAUCAGAUACCGUCGUAGUCUUAACCAUAAACUAUGCCGACUAGGGAUCGGAUGAUGUUAAUUUUUUAAUGACUCAUUCGGUGCCUUAAC
rnacentral:rRNA from 1 species